GUCUGGUAGGCUCGUGUCACUGGGCAGCUCGCGGCUGUGCUUCCCUUUGUAGGCUGUAAUAGUUUGCAAGCCCUGCCACAUCCGACGAGCUUCGGAGCCGGUGUAGUAUGAUUCAAUCUUAGUCCUGUAUUGAUGCUUUGACUGUUUGAUGGUUCGUCGGAUGGCAUAGCGGGAUUUCUUGUAAGGUGACAGUAUUAGCUGUGGUUGGAGGUGGCAGUAUUAGCUGUGGUUGGAGGUGGCAGUAUUAGCUGUGGUUGGAGGUGGCAGUAUUAGCUGUGGGUGGAGGUGGCAGUAUUAACAGUGGUUGGAUGGGGAGGUAUUAGCAGUGGUUGGAGGUGGCAGUAUUGGCUGUGGUUGGAGG
ensembl:lncRNA